CAUUGCGUUGCUUGAUCAAUAUUUGCUCCUUUUCCUGCUCGCUUCUCAAGAAUGGCAUCAAUUUUGGUAGUUCUCGCUGCUAUUGCUGCUUGUCUAAAUUUAGCAGUGAGAUUUGUAACUAAAUGAAUCAGUUUAAUCACUAAUGACAAAUAUCACAUCCAUCCUCCUCCCUUAUAUUUAUUUAUUAAUAUGUCAAUAAAAUAGAAAAUAACUAUUCAUUAUCAAACUGUCCAAUGAAAACUGGAGUCAGAGUCGACCUGUUUUUAGCGACUCCAGUUCUGACAAUUUUACCCCAAAAUCUGCCCAACAACUCUGAUUCUGACUCCACAGCCCUGAUAUACGUAACGUAUUCGGAAACUAAGUACCGUUUCAUUCUAGCGCCGUCGCAGCGCUGUCGUAGGCAUCCCACGCAUGCACAUUAGUCUUUCUUGUUCACUGACUUUCAAUUGUCGCCAUUUUGGUUGCUCUAUGUUAGUAGUUAGGAUUUGAGUAUCCCUGCACCCCGGAAGUGCAGUCGACCUUCAAAAGUACUUGGAUGUAGUAGUAGGCGGUAAUGUAGGCGAGACUGUUUGUCAUAUACCAUGUUUUUCUAAAAUAGCGCGUUAAAUGAAGGAUGAGAGGCUUGUAAAAAAAAAAAAAAGGGAAAUGAUUUAAUUAAAAUUCACGAGUCGAAUGUAAUAUGCGCAUUUGAAAGGGUUGGCUUCAGUUGAGUGGGCUGGGAUAAUAUUCUGCAUUGCUAAAUUAGGAACGAGAUGGUCGCUUUUCCUUGAGAGAGGUUAGAUCAAGGUUAAGAUUUUGAGGGGGAGGUGAAAGUAGUAUUUGAUGAAAUACGUGUUUUGAAAGCGUAAACAUCCUGUAAGCGCACAAGGCUUACUUACUGUAAGCGCAAAGACUUGUGAAACUUUCACUUGAUCAUUACAUUUCGAAGCGGUGAGGUUGGUGCUAUCAUCCUCCAUAAGGAUUACAAUGGAAGCUCGUAAUGAACGCAAACGUAGAUGUGUUGACACGUUGGGGGAUGUGCAGCCGUCGGAAGAUCUUAUUUUAAACCUUGCUCCCGAGGAAGGCAAAACCUCCCGCAAAAAACUCAAAAAAAUUAAAAUAUACAUUGGAAAAAAUGUUUCAAUAGAAACUAGUGACUUCAAAAAUGUCAAUUAUGUUUCAUUUGUAAGGGUGUAUCCCGAAACCGCCGCCACCCCCAAAAGAUUUAAUAUAAAUAUGAAUUGUAUUGAUCGUAUAAUCGAAGCUUUGGGGGUGAUUAAGAGUCACUGUAUGUAAAAUUAAAAAAAAAAA